rnacentral:miRNA from 1 species
UGAAGAAGACGACGACGAGGAGCAU